CUUCUCUCUAUCCCUCCGGCGUCUCCCUAAAACCCUAUCUGUAGAAGAAAACGACGACGGUCGAAUCUCGCUUCUCCGGCUUCAUCCAUUUCUCACAAUGGCUUCCGCUUGCUGCAAUAGAUUCAUGAACAGAUCCUCCGUCUCGUCUCUCAGAUCCGCCAUCAGAUCUGCGCUUCACAAAUCUCCAGUUGGCACCGGAACUCCGCCGAGUGCUUCCUCCGCCGGGUUUCGGAUUCCGUCUAAACCGGCUGCUUCUCCCCGAUUCUCCUUCUCCAGGUGUCCAUCUGAGCUUGGUUGUGUUCAGUCGCUGUUGCCGCUUCACAGCACGGUGGCGGCUGCUAGGCUGACGUCGUGCCUUAGCGUAACAUCCAGAAGCAGCCGAGCUCUCUCUCAGGGUACUCUCUGCUGCACCUCUCCCGACCUCUAAUACAUUAGAUUGCUGUGAGGAAAGGCACAUAAUUUCAUCGUUACCAUGUGGGAUCGAACCUUGCAUCUUUAUCAAAUGGAAUCGAUGACACGUGAGACGUAUUUGCAGUUGUUUUUAAAGAGAUGGGCCUUUCAGUCCCAAGGUGACCACCUGCUACAUUCAUGAAGAUUAUUACUCUCAGAGCCUCAGAGGAGACGAGAAGUUUUUUUUUUUGCGACACCAAACUCUUGUUCAUGAAGAAAACUGUGUAAUACUAUUUCGGGCUCUUUACACAAUUCAUAUCUCAGAUUCUAUCCAUGUUUGACAUUGUGUUUACCUUAACCAAAAACUCAAAACUUGAAAAGAUACUAAAGUUGUAUAGCAACAUUUUGCUCUUGAA